rnacentral:rRNA from 1 species
UCUAGAGUNUCGGAGAGGAAAGUGGAAUUCNUAGUGUAGCGGUGAAAUGCGUAGAUAUUAGGAAGANCACCAGUGGCGAAGGCGACUUUCUGGACGAAAACUGACGCUGAGGCGCGAAAGCCAGGGGAGCGAACGGGNUCAGAUACCCCGGUAGUCCUGGCCGUAAACGAUGGGUACUAGGUGUAGGAGGUAUCGACCCNUUCUGUGCCGGAGUUAACGCAAUAAGUACCCCGCCUGGGGAGUACGACCGCAAGGUUGAAACUCAAAGGAAUUGACGGGGGCCCGCACAAGCGGUGGAGUAUGUGGUUUAAUUCGACGCAACGCGAAGAACCUUACCAGGUCUUGACAUUGAUGGACAGAACCAGAGAUGGUUCCUCUUCUUCGGAAGCCAGAAAACAGGUGGUGCACGGUUGUCGUCAGCUCGUGUCGUGAGAUGUUGGGUUAAGUCCCGCAACGAGCGCAACCCCUAUCUUAUGUUGCCAGCACUUCGGGUGGGAACUCAUGAGAGACUGCCGCAGACAAUGCGGAGGAAGGCGGGGAUGACGUCAAAUCAUCAUGCCCCUUAUGACCUGGGCUACACACGUACUACAAUGGGAGUUAAUAGACGGAAGCGAGAUCGCGAGAUGGAGCAAACCCGAGAAACACUCUCUCAGUUCGGAUCGUAGGCUGCAACUCGCCUACGUGAAGUCGGA